GCCGCGGGAAGCUAUAGGCUGCUGUUGCUGUUGUUCGGAAUCGAGUGCGUCGAUCCGUGUCCGACAUCAUUUAAGAGGUAAGAGCAUCACAAAUUGAAGGAAACCAUUUGUACGCUUACAGUUCCUGGUUUGGAUUUUCAAUCCGUUGAUCGAGGGUGCCAACGCACCAUGCUUUCUGUUCGUUUUCCUCUGCUAAUGUCUUGCCGAUGGAAGGUUGUGAACGCUGCCCGCUUCCUGGCCACUGCAGAUGACAAAUUAAGCCUGGAUUAAUCCGUCACAUUUCUCUAUUUCUUACCUUCCUGAAUCCUGUUAUUGGUGGCUUCUCAUUCACGUUCAACAAAUGAUGUUCUGUCUUAGCCAAUCACUUCAGGACGGGGAUGUGCAUGGUGGCCGAAACUGAAGAUUGCCGUAGUUCAUGACUCCGGAAUCACUCCGGCGGGGCUUGUGGCCGCUUCAGGUUGGUGCAGGAGGUCGAGGCUGCGGAGUCACGCGACGGCUGAAGACAUGUGCUGCCGCGCCGCUCUGUAGGGUGAGGCCUACUUAUGCCAUGCGCCGGAGGGCGUGUCCUGCCGCCAGUUGCCGCGGACGAGCCUCGUCGUGAAAUCGCUCCGCCAGAGAGCAUGCUGAUAAUGUUUUGAGAGAGAGAUCGACAGAUAAUAAGCGAGAGAGAUGUAAAGUGAAUUCCAUUCCUUCAUUGAUGAUUGUCACAGAUUAUAUACAUGUUGAGGAGAUACCUCUAGGAGGCGUCGGUUUGUAGGGAUGGGAUCGAGAAGUAAUCGUCGUGCGGCUGAGCGCAACUGCACGUGGGGAACGGGGAUUCCCCUAAUUAAUCGCAUGGACUAAUUAGUCUUAACAGUCUCUAGUUAUCAUCAGAAGUACAGAGGGUUGUGGUAAGCACUCAACCUAUUUGUGUUGUCGGCAAACACGUACGAUCAAGCGCAAUUGUAAGCCAUGCAUCUUAUUUAUUCGUUAUGGUCUAUUGUGCGUCAAGUCCAUGUCUAUAAGCCGAGUGUUG
rnacentral:lncRNA from 1 species